AGCAGCCGCGGUAAUUCCAGCUCCAAUAGCGUAUAUUAAAGUUGUUGCAGUUAAAAAGCUCGUAGUUGAAUUUCGGGGUUAGUAGGUUGGUCAUGCCUCUGGUAUGUACUGGUCUCACUGAUUCCUCCUUCCUGAUGAGCCGUAAUGCCAUUAAUUUGGUGUUGCGGGGAAUUUGGACUGUUACUUUGAAAAAUUAGAGUGUUUAAAGCAGGCUCACGCUUGAAUACAUUAGCAUGGAAUAAUGAAAUAGGACGUUUGAUCCUAUUUUGUUGGUUUCUAGGAUUGACGUAAUGAUUAAUAGGGAUAGUUGGGGGCAUUAGUAUUCAAUUGUCAGAGGUGAAAUUCUUGGAUUUAUUGAAGACUAACUACUGCGAAAGCAUUUGUCAAGGAUGUUUUCAUUAAUCAAGAACGAAAUUAGGGGAUCGAAGACGAUCAGAUACCGUCGUAGUCUUAACCAUAAACUAUGCCGACUAGGGAUCGGGAUGAUGUUAAUUUUUUAAUGUACUUCAUUCGGCGCCUU
rnacentral:rRNA from 1 species